rnacentral:lncRNA from 10 species
GCCACUUUUGAUACUCACACCAGGAGUAUUCUCUUGGGCUACAUAGCAGCAUAGCAGAAAGAGUCACAGAACUGAAUAAACAUGUGUGCUAGGAAAAGUUUGCAGACUACAUUUCAACUACAGUAACAUUUUGACAAGGAACAAAAGAGGAAAAAUGUAUAAUAUCCUGACCUUGGCCAGGCGCGGUGGCUCACGCCUGUAAUCCCAACACUUCGGGUGGCCGAGGCGGGUGGAUCACAAGGUCAGGAGAUCG